UGAGUCCUCAAACGUACGGUGAGAGGAGCCCUCAUAGGGCUUCUUUAGACAGACUUGAGAGGACUCAGCCCCCCCACCCCCCAAGAUCAAAGGAAGGCAGCCUCUCUUCUCCCUUUGUUUUGUCUGUAGGCUUCUUAUAAGCCGCAGCUGCUGCUCCUGCCUGCUGAUGCAGCCCAGUGGGCUAGUUUGGACUCCUUAAUUAAACUCCGGAGUUGAAUUCUCCCUCAUGUCCUACGGUCUGAAAACUCUUCAGGCUUCACAGAGGAUCCACCUCAUUUCCCUUCUCUGAGAAAUCACCAUCCUACACUGAUUUUCUGUUUAAUAUGUAGUGUCUGAAAAUUGUCUACUAUGUUUUAAACACUGUUUUAAAGUAAGAGAACCUGUUUUUCUGUCUUGGUGAGAGGUGAGAGCUGGGUACAUCUUGGUGUAUUCCCAGGUUCUCUUAGGAUAAAUUAGUAAAGUAGGGUAGUCAUUGUUAUAAUUACAACUAAAGCCAAAGUUAUACAUUCAAGAGUGAGCCCUGCUUUGGUCUUUUAAGCCGUGUGCUGAGUCUCUUUGUAAAUUUGAAGCUCAAAGGCAGAGGUAAGACUUACUCAUAGCCCAACUUCACUUCUUGUACGAAUGGAACAUGAGUUAGUUCAUGUAAGUGCUAUCAGUUUUAUUCUGAUCUCAGGAACCAGCUAAAUGGAUUCCUUAGACACAGAUGAAUCCAAGAUGGGGAUUUUCAGACUAGCCUGUGAAGCACUUGGGUCGGGAGGGUUUCUGCUUUUUCUGUGAGAGUGGCUUAUUGCAGGGUAUGGGUAGGUGACUAGUUUUCUUCAGAGAUGACGUUUCUGCCUUCCUUUAGUAAUGGUAAUUCCAUACUCAGUAGUAGAGUAGGAAAUCAUAGAAGAUGGUGGUGCCAGCUACAGCCAAUGUGCGUUAAUGUGCGUACUGUAUAAUGACCAUUGCAGCUGAUAUGCUGGACAUACAGAAAACACACAUGGGUUAUCUUAAGGAAAACAUUAUUAUAGUUCUCAGAUGCUCCACUUGUGGCAUAAUUCUAGACAAAUAUAGAGUGUAUCAAAAGUGAUUAUGAUAGUGUCGGGGAUGGUGCUUUUUAAACUGGGAUUGUUGGGUCUCUCUGUUGGAAGGUGGAGUUUGAAGUUGUAUAUUGGUUUGGCAGUUUUAACAUUCCAUUUAUAGGCUGGAGAGAUGGCUCAGCAGUUAAGAGCACUGACUGCUUGCUCUUCCAGAGGUCCUGAGUUCAAAUCCCAGCAACCACAUGGUGGCUCACAACAAUCUCUAACGGGAUCCGAUGCCCUCUUCUGGUGUGUCUGAAGACAGCGACAGUGUACUCACAUACAUGAAUUAAAUAAAUAAAUAAAUCUUAAAAAAAAAAAAAGAUUGCAUUUAUAGGGGAAGGUAAGUCUACUUCCCUGUCUAUCCCAGUACAGUUUAGAAUGGGUCCGUUAGUAUUGUCCUAUUUUUCCCUAAGUUAGCAACAUAGCUAAAAAUAUGGUAAGCACCAAGAGGACUUUAGAGACCCUGGAGGUGUCUGCUGGGAAAGGGGACUCUUGUGUUGGCAAACAUGUUAGGGCUUGUUCCAACCCUGCGGCUGGGACCUGCUUGUGCUGCUUCAAACCAACUUGGCACCGUAAGCUCUGAGCGUACAUUGUUUGAGUUGGGAUAAUGAAUGACUUAGGCGUGUUAUACUCUGGUGUGUAUUUUCAGUGUGAAAUGGGUCAGUCAGUCUAGUAUUUUGUGCUAAACGGAGGAAUAGGUUUUGGCUUUGUUAUCAGGAGCUCUGGGAUAAACGCUCCUUUGCAUCGGGUUUUCCAAAGAGUGCAUGAUGUGCUUAUCCCUUGUACUUUCUUAAUGACCUUAACUUUUUUUUUUUUUAAGAACUAGCAAUAUAGUGUACACAUAUCAAAAGUCUUGCUGACUUAUGAGUUUUAUUCAGUAUCUGAAAAAGCCUAAAUUCUCUACUCAUCCUAAGGCUCUCUGUUGUUCCUUUGGGUUCUAAGGUACAAUGCAACACUUAGUUCUUAAAUAUUCUUAAAUAUUCAGUUCUUAAAUAUUCAGUGAUGAGAAAUAUUGGCAUGAGAUUUGGAGCUUGGAGUAAAAUUGAAUUAUUAGCUUGAACUAUAAAUCCUAGAGCCUGCCGUGACAGCGACAGCGCACCCAGGGCCCAUGCUCCAGGAAGCUGAGAUGGGAGGACAGUGAGUUCGGACCUGCAGGCCCCGCCCCCACAAGGGAAAGACCAUGGGCAAAGUCUUUCCUCAGCCCUGCUGUCACUUGCUGCUUUACCUGCGAGGACAGUGGUUCUGCAGUCAGCUUUGACACGGAGACUCUUGAUCAGAGGAUCCACACUUGUGGAUGCCCUGCAUUCGGAUGCUAAGAAGCUGCCUCCAAUUUCCAGCAUUUUCAACUGCAGCGCAGUUUUAAUGCUUUUUAAUGGAACAUGCUCAGGUCUUUCAUAAAAUGUGGGAUGUUCUUGGUGUAUUGUAUAUCCUUGGCAGAACACCAAGUUAGGCUAAUCGUUUCUUCCAUAGAAGAGCUAAUUAGGAAGACUGGCUUGACAUGAUCUUAGGUGUGUUUUAAUAGCUUCUUCAUUUUAUUAAAGUGGCUCGAAUAAAAACCACUCACCAUUGCACUCAAGGACAUAAAUUCUUAUGCUCAUGUUUUGAAGAUUGAAACAAAUAGAAGCAAACAGCCCUGUGUGCUGAUAGUUCAGCUCCUGGAAUAGGUUUCCUAGUGUGGGGAAUGAGAGGAGUGUGUGACCUUUGCUACUGACGGACGCUGGCAGUUGGUUGUGGAGUGUCGGUCAGAUUUAGUAAUCAGCCUGUCUGUGGUGACUGAUAGGUUGGAUGGCACUAAAUGCCCGUUUUCUUUGUCUACGGCUGGAACUGUGUGAUUAAUUAAUCCCGAGACUAUUUAUUGUCUGUUCUUCCUCAUGACUGUCCUAACUCCCCUUUAGUCCUCUUUUCUUUGUCAUGACUCUUCAUUCUUUGACCACUACCUCAUUUUCUAAAAAGUGGUUUUCAGUUUUUUUCCCUACUGUGACCUUUGAAGAUUUAUCUUUAUACAGUAAUAAGUUGGCCACUGUCGUCAUAUAUUAUAUUUUUCUUUUAAUAUACAUAAGCAUUACUUUUUGAAGUUGCUAUAAAGAUCAGUGAAUGUGAAGAUGUUUGAAAAUAUGAAAUAAUAUACUUGUGUUAUUAUUAAUAGUUAUAUUAGUGAGCUGACCCAAUGUAUAUGGGCAUUGCUAUGAGUCUAAGGACCUCAGCUGUCCUCUAAUCUCUAAAUACUUGAAGGGGAACAUGCUCUCUUUCUUCUUCAGUAGAUAAAUAAAUAUAAAGAUGUAGUCAUAAUAACAUCCCUACUUUCUCCUUAUUGUUGUCUCCAUGGUUCAGAGUAAUUUAAAGUUUACCUUUCUUACUAGUGUAGGCUGUCUGGUGCCCCGAUCACAGAGCUCUAAGCUAGAAUCUUAGCUGUUCUUCUCUAAGGCAGAAGCACUGAUCCGGGCGAGUCCUAUCCUCUCCUGUUCCUAAUGAUACAUAGGAGUCCACUUCACACAUGUUGUAGGACACCUUAAAGGAUAGUACCGAACUCCCAUCACUGCUUCCUCCUCAUCCACGCCAGCCUGGCAGUUCCCGGAUGGAGCUUUGUAGGUUACAGAUUGAGCUGAGAUGAGGGAAGUGUUGGGUGUGUAUGUGUGUACAGUGUUUGGUUCCUAAGCAUUUAUGACAGCUGCAUUAGUGGAAGAAGGGAGAAGCCCAACUGAUUCCCUAAUGAUAGCUGUGUUAGUGGAAGGAGGGAGAAGCCUAGCCAAACCCCGCUUUAGAAGGGCUCCCUGAGUGAGUCCUAUUAGCGGGCUCUCAGUUUCCUGGUACUCACUGUCAGUCUCACAGAGAGACAAAUGUGCAGGUAUGCUCUGUGCCUUAAGUCUAAAGUUUAGGAAGUUCAAAUACAGAAUAUCAUAGGUUGUACCAUUAUAUUUAUUGCCAAAAUUAUGAGCAUAAUUAUAGAAAAGAACAAAAUUCUUUACUCUUACAGUUUUAAAAAUUCACAACUCAGGCGAGGGGCCUGUAAGUCACUACCUUUAGCUGAAGAACUGUUGAUAGUUGAUGGCUUUUGGGGAAGGCAGCAGUUUCUUUAAGGGUGUGGCCCUGGUUGUCCCACCAUGCACUUGUGAAUGGUCUUCCAUCUAGGAGUAUAUGGGCAGUACAGCUCGGAGUCCAUAGGGUGUGUGUGCGCGUGUGCGUGUGCAUGUGUGUGACAAAAUUGGGAUGAGGUGGGAGGUGAAUGCAAUCAAAAUAUAGUCAUGUGUCCAACACUCAACUCAAGGAAGGUCAUAAGAACUGUAAUAAACUAUCACACCAGGUCAACAGUUAUUCGCCAGUCUUAAGUCAGAAAAUUUGGGAGAUUGGCUGGCUGUAAUUGGGCAUGCUUUAGCUUCAGCUGUUGGGCGGGUGGGGUAGGAAGAUAGGUUCUAAGAGUUUGUGACUAGCUGGGGAGCAGAGACAGUAUGACCUAUUGCUCCAUGAAAAAAGGGAAAGCAAGAAAGAACACUUGGGAAGGUUAGAACGCAAAACUGUGAGAAGUGAGCUGUGUGACCCCCCUCUUGAAUUUUGCUGCUACUCUUUAAGUCAAUAUAGCAUGAUUCUGAGGUACAGGUCACCCCCUUAAUGAAGAUUUAAUAGAUGAUUGCAGGACAUAGUUUUGUGUGUAGAAUGUCAUUUGGUUUGCAUGUGAUGUUUUAUGGUUAAUACUUUGUAUACUUUCCCUAGUUAAUGGUAAAGCUCUGUGAAAGAGAUCCUUGUUUUUCCAUAUACUUGAAUUUUAGCCGUAUUUUAAGACUUUUUGUUGGUACUGGGGUAAAGCGACUUAAGCCCAGUGGUGGUGACGGUGCUUUCUUAGUGACUUUAGACUGUAGAACUGAGGAUGACAGGAUUUGAAAACAAAUGAAUCUUUUACAUUUCACCUAUCCUUCCUCUUCUUCUACCCCCUCCUUUUUUGUGUGUCUGUGUCUGUGUCUGUGUGUCUCUGUGUGCGUGAACAUGUGUCACGUUCAUGCCUGGUGCCCAAAGAGGUCAGAAGAGGGCGUUAAUGCAGAGGAACCAGAGUUGUGGUUGUUGCAAGAGCAGCCAGGGCUUUUAACCAUUGAGCCAUCUCUCCAGGCCCUCCUCCCUGUCCCCAUGUGAAAUCUAGACCUGUGUGGUGAAACUGUGUCUUAAUAUUUAUUUCUGUUCUGAAAACGUAAGCAUCAUUAGUCUGGCUUUGGGCAAUUAUCUUUUCUCCAGAACAAAGAGGCCUUAUAAUUUUCUUGAAUGUAUGCAUGUUAUGGGGGAGGGGCAGGCAUACUUCCUUUGCGGUUUCUGUGUAAACAGUGGAGCAGGAGGCCGUUCUCCCCUGGUCCCUAUGUUGGAUCACCUUCCUGCCUAACCACACAUGUAUGAUUUUAUGUUCUUAAAUGAAUUUUAAAAAAUCGCUCAAAGGCCAAAAAUUGAGUUGUUUGUUCCAUGUUCUAUUCAGCUAGGUGGUUUUGGUAGUAUUGGACUUGGCAGAUGUGCGAGAGGCAGAGCUGAGAAAUCUUCAGACUUAGUGCGUGAGAAGAUCAGAGAGUCACAGCAUGCUCAAUAAUGCUUUCUACAAAGUCACCAGGCGGUUGGUGGAGCAAAUACUACUUUGUUUCCAUGGAGAAUAUUCUGUGAAGGGAGAGGUAGUUAGGAAGCACUAAGGAAGGACAGGUGCAGUCUUGCAAUGCAGUUGUGUGUGAUGUUAGGCACACAGCACACUUGGAGAGCUCCUUUUACUUAUUAGUGGGUCUCAACCUUCCUGAUGCUGCGACCCAUUAAUAUAGCUCUUUAUGUUGUGCUGACCCUCUCCCAACCAUAAAAUUAUCUCAUUGCUACUUCAUAACUGUAAUUUUGCUACUGUUAUGAAUCAUAAUUAAAUAUCUGAUAUGCGAUUCUGUGAAAGGAUUAUUCGAUCCAAAGGGUUUGCAGUCUGACAGGUUGAGAGCCACUGAAUUAAAUGGUGUUGAGUAUAGUUUGGAAAGAGCAGCUAUGUGAUCAUCAGGAGCGAGUGUGGGCACUGUAGCACUAAUGACGAGUGAUGUCACUGCUCUUGCUAGAAUGCAGAAGACUGAAUUAGCCAUUGCCAGUGUAGCUUCCAUCCAUACAGAAUAAUGUCUGUAAUAGCUACUGAGUACCCUUUGACAGUUUAAAAGACAAUGUGAUUACUUAGAAAAAUACGGUGUAUAAAUGACCUCUUAGAGCACAUUUAGCUUCCAAUUAAUAGUAAGACAGUAAGUAGUUCACUGAAAAGUUGCUUCUUGAUAUUUUUUAAUUUUAGGAAAAAUCUCUCUACAUAGUUCAUAGUUUAUAUAGCUAUGAUUGUUAAGAAAAAUAUGGUUUAAGUUGGCUAUUCUAAGGCAUAGUUUUCAAAUAUUUAAAAUAUGUACUGCUAGAUUAAUACUAAAGGCUAAAGAGGGGAAUUGCUGAAGCAUAAAAGAUAUUUUAGGAAGGCUGUUGGCUUUUAACUGUUUCUCAAGUCAUCCAUAGCAUACUGAGCACAAUUUUCAUAUAUGUAUUUAUUUGAGAAAGGUUCUCACUAGUCCUGACUGGCCUGGAGCUUCCUGAAGCGGUGGCCACUGCAUCUAGCAUCGGUUUUCAGCAGCUAAUAAGGUGUGCACACUCACUGCGCUAGCAGCCAAACCUUGCCUUGUGUGUGUCCUAUGCAUAGCUACUGCCAAUGGCAGUGGAAAGGGAAGAGUUAUUUUAGCUCAUGGUCUCAGAUUUCUCUCCUCAGUGCUUGGCUUUUUAUUCUGUGGAGAGGAGAGCGUGUGGAUUACGAGGCUCUUCACCACAGAGUGGGCAGGAAGCAGAGGAAAAGGAAGGAAUGGGACCAGGCACAGCUUUCAGAGGACCCAUCUUAGUGACCCGCUUCUCUCUGCUGGGCUCUCCUAAGAUUUAGUGGGAAGAGAGUGCUGCUAGACGGUGGGUCAGCUCGUGAGGAGGUGGGGACAGGUCCCACGUUAUUCUUUCUGAAUAAAGUGACGCCAAAAAGUCACAGAUCCUUGAUUUUAGGGUAGGGUGAUGAUGAUACAUACUCAUCUGUGGUUUGUGAAAUUAUGAUUUCUGACUUAAUACAUCAUGUCACCUGCCUGUCCUCUUCCCAUAUUAGUGUUAGUGAUAGGAUGUCAGCAGGAGAGAAGCUAAAGCACUUGCCCUGUCAGACGGGCGGCGCUCUUUCCAAGGCCAGCUCCUCAAGCAAGGAGACAGAAGAGUGUGCGGCCUAGAGACUCCAUAAAGACUUGUGAACACAGUUCUGAGGGGAGGGAGGGACAUGUGAUGUGCCCCUCAAACAUCAGAACAGAGAGGUAGCCAUUAUUACUGUGUGGCCUUUAUCACAUUCCCGCGUGUCAGUCCUCUCUGUUGUCCCUCCCCCUUCCCUGUGUCCCCAAGGGAUGUUGGUCAUCUUCAGCAAGGCGCUUUGCUAACAGACAGGUUAACAGCGGCCGUUGGAUGCGGAGGGAAUGACUGUUGUGACAUGUGAGUCAGAUGUGACUGACUACACAUUUUGUCAGUGACAAAAAAAAAAAAAAUACACUUGAUAGGGUUGAUUUUGAGGCCAAGCUCCAGAGGCCAUGUCGUUUUCAUCGCGUUAAACUAAUAUAAUUGUAUUUGCUGAUACCGUUGUUUUGUUUUUCUUGAUCAUGCCAUAUUUCUUUGGCUACAGUGCUAAGUUGCAUUAUUUUGAACAUAAUUGGUUUUGGGCUUUAACAGGAAAAUUAGCUACCGUGUGUAUUACUUGCUGGUUUCUUUAAUAUCUAUAUUGGUUAAUACAGAUAAUAUAGUUCAUAUGUGAGUUCUUUUACUAUGUUUAAUACAUCUUUGCAUUAUAAAUCAUUUCAUUAGUUUGUAUCAUCUUCUGAGGGAUCAGGAUGGUCUCUGUUUACAGGGGCAUAAAUGGGAUUAACUUCAUUAAUUUAGUUGCACAAGGUUACAUGGCGCAGAACUAAUUCACACUGCAGUUUGUGUGUUUGCAUCCAACACAGCCUGCACCCACACACAUACACAUGCAUAGGUGUGCAUGCGCACAGACAGCCAUCGUCUUGUUGUCCCUUGGGCACCAUCUGCCUUCACUUGCUUGUUGGUUAAGGUUAGGUCUUUGAUAGCUUGGAACUUGCCAGUUAGGCUAGACUGGCUGGCCAGGGGCCUUCCCAUCUCACUUCCCCAGCCCCAGGUCCCAUAGCAACCUGGACCUCCCCUCCAGCCCACACCCACAUUUUAUUAAUUUUGUAUUUACCCAUUCUUUCAUGCUAGUUAGAUGGAUUUGUGUCUGGGGCAGCCAUCUGUUCCAUGGAAACGGCAUGCUGGAGUUAAGUCAGGCUAGAUAUUGCUUGCAGACUAAAACUGCAUUGUUUUAGUAGAUGUGCCAAAGUGCAUGCUUAAACUUUGAUCUGUUACAGUGCUAAACCUGCCCUCUCAGCCUUCUCAUCCUUUCUUCUGUCUUCCUCCUCCCUCUGACCUCCUUUCUUUCUUCGCUUGUUGAAGAAAACAAGCUCCUGCCUCAGCUUCCUGCGUGGCUUGUAUGACAAGGCUGUAACACCAGGCUGUGCUUUACCUGUUCUAGUCCUACCCUUACAUCAGUAACGUCAGAGAAAACCUAAAACCCACACGCGUUUGUGCUCUCGGAGCUUAGCCUCAAAAUAAACCCUAUCAAAUGUAUUCUACAUUUGUCACUGACAAAAUGGGUAGUGAGUCACAUUUAUCCUUGCAUGCCAGUAGGUACAGCUAGAUGCACAACACAUGCAGUGGGUAUAGGUAGAUGCACAACACAUGCAGUGGAUACAGGUAGAUGCACAACACAUGCAGUGGAUACAGGUAGAUACACAACACAUGCAGUGGGUACAGGUAGAUUCACAACACAUGCAGUGGUACAGGUAGAUGCACAACACAUGCAGUGGGUACACGUAGAUGUACAACACAUGCAGUAGGUACAGCUAGAUGCACAACACAUGCAGUGGGUAUAGGUAGAUGCACAACACAUGCAGUGGAUACAGGUAGAUGCACAACACAUGCAGUGGGUACAGGUAGAUUCACAACACAUGCAGUGGUACAGGUAGAUGCACAACACACGCAAUGGGUACAGGUAGAUGUACAACACAUGCAGUAGGUACAGCUAGAUGCACAACACAUGCAGUGGGUAUAGGUAGAUGCACAACACAUGCAGUGGAUACAGGUAGAUGCACAACACAUGCAGUGGAUACAGGUAGAUACACAACACAUGCAGUGGGUACAGGUAGAUGUACAACACAUGCAGUGGGUACAGGUAGAUUCACAACACAUGCAGUGGUACAGGUAGAUGCACAACACAUGCAGUGGGUACACGUAGAUGUACAACACAUGCAGUAGGUACAGCUAGAUGCACAACACAUGCAGUGGGUAUAGGUAGAUGCACAACACAUGCAGUGGAUACAGGUAGAUGCACAACACAUGCAGUGGGUACAGGUAGAUUCACAACACAUGCAGUGGUACAGGUAGAUGCACAACACAUGCAAUGGGUACAGGUAGAUGUACAACACAUGCAGUAGGUACAGCUAGAUGCACAACACAUGCAGUGGGUAUAGGUAGAUGCACAACACAUGCAGUGGAUACAGGUAGAUGCACAACACAUGCAGUGGAUACAGGUAGAUACACAACACAUGCAGUGGGUACAGGUAGAUGUACAACACAUGCAGUGGGUACAGGUAGAUUCACAACACAUGCAGUGGUACAGGUAGAUGCACAACACAUGCAGUGGGUACAGGUAGAUGCACAACACAUGCAGUGGGUACAGCUAGAUGCACAACACAUGCAGUGGGUACAGCUAGAUGCACAACACAUGCAGUGGGUACAGCUAGAUGCACAACACAUGCAGUGGGUACAGGUAGAUGCACAACACAUGCAGUGGAUACAGCUAGAUGCACAACACAUGCAGUGGGUACAGCUAGAUGCACAACACAUGCAGUGGGUACAGGUAGAUGCACAACACAUGCAGUGGGUACAGGUAGAUGCACAACACAUGCAGUGGGUACAGUUAGAUGCACAACAGUCAUUGCCUGGCAUCCCUGUUAACCUGUUUAGUUUGCAGACCUUGCACUCAUCUGCUAAUGGGCUAUUGGCACUGUGCAGUCCUCUGCAGAAGGAUAAGAAUUCAUGGUGUUUCUUCUACGGGGCUGGAGAGGGGAAGUUGUUACAUAUGGGGUGACAGCCGACACAGCUCACUGGGAGAGGAGCGUGUGUAAGCUGUCCAGUUUCUGCUCUGUGGUUGGAGAUGGCUGUGUAGAGGUACCUGCGUCCUCUGGGUAGGGUUCUGAGUAGAGAGGUUGGGAAUGUGAGCUUAUUUUCUUACAGAAGUCACCUUGUGAAGCUUUGAAAGAAAGCUUGCAGUGGCUCUUCUGUGAGGACUAAGAACUUUGUGGGCUCCAUUAAAGCAGUUUUAUCUUCUUUUUUUUUUUUUUUUUUCAAAUGAUGGGGUCCUUUCCUAGUACUUAAAAUGCCAAUCACUUUCAAUUAAAUUAAGUUGCUGUGAAUAAUUCUUCAUGCCUCCCUUUAUUUUCUUCCCAAUUAAUUAUUUAUCCCUCUCUCUUUGGCAGCAUUAUUACUUUGCUUUCUUUUGGAAGGCAGAACUCCCUGUACUGCUUUUGUGAUAGCCCUGUUAUAAAAACAGUGGGAUAAAUGUUCACAUGCUAUAACAUUUCUUUUGGGGGGCUUCGGUGAGUAGGAUUAGUGAAAAACAUAAAUAAGCCAGUGAAUGUUGGCAGGCGUUCAGAUACUAACUCCUUUGUGCACACAGUAGUAACUUCUUACAAGUAAAAUUUUCACACGGUCUCUUUGAAAAUUAACGGAUUUGAGAUAAAGUGUGAAUAAUUGAUUAGCCUUCACCCUGCAGAGGUGUUGGAUGCAUUACUGAGUUGUUAGGAAGCCCAGGAAAAUGUCAUACUACAAAGGCAGAUAGAUCACUGUCUGAUAGCCAGUUUUGAAACUCAUUGGUAAGAGAGGGCUCUUUAAAGGAGGUGGGAUCCUGGUUUCCAUUUCAGCUUUUCCCUCUGACUCUCAGUACAUGCCUGAGGUCCGGGCAUGUGUGUAAAACUCAAGUAGUGUUGUUGCUUUUAAAUAUAGAUGUGAAGUAUUUAUGCAAAUGGGUUUAAAUUUCCUGUCACAUAAAAUGUGCAGGAGGUCCACUGGAAACUCACUGGAGGUUUGUCUUAGCUUAUUGAUAGGGAUGAAUCAUUUUCAUUGUCAUCACUUGGACUUUUAAAAAUACCGAUGAGCAAGUGUUAUAAGAGUGCUUGUCUUCCCAAUUUGAAAUGAGAAAUCACGCUUAUAUAUAUCUUUUCAAGUAUUGGAGGGGUUUGUAGUUUUCUCUCAAGGUUUUUUGGUCUGGGAGCUAGUAUGUUACAGGUGGGCUGCCAUUCCACUCUCUGGAAGUUGACUUUGAAAAUUCCCCACAUAAGCUAGGGUGCUGAGUUAGAGUUACAGUCUUGGGAGCUUUGCCAGCCAACAGCGUGGCUCAGUGGGUUACGGAGCUUUGUAUACAAGUCUCAUGACUACAGUUCUAACCCUGGACCCCACAUAAAGGUGGGAGGAGAGACCACUGUGGCAUGCACUGACAUGCUCGCGAGUGCGUGCGUGUGUGUGUGCGUGUGUGUGUGUGUGCACCUACAGCACAAUAAUAAAUAGUGAAAACUAAAAUGAACCUUUUUAAUAAUCCAAUUAUUUUGAACAUUUUUACCACAGUUGACUCAAAGACUAGACAAUAGGAAAAUGCAAAGAUUAACCUAAGUUUACUACUGAGCUAUCAUUUUCUUCCAGAUAUAAGGAGAAAUAACAAGAUAGGUAAAGAAAUACCACUUUCUUAGCUCGGGAGAUAUUUUUAGAAAAUGAAUAAAAUCCCAGCUGCCUUGUUUCCUGCUAGCGGCAUUUUUAUAUGGAUUUUAAAAUCUCUACCAUGUUAUUUGCCAUACCUCUUCUCUCACAUUCUCACAAACAAAAAUUUGAGGUUGCAUUGCAUGUGUUAUUAAAAUAGACUCAUUCUAAUAAUUGCUAUUUAGGUGACUUCAUGUUAAUUUUAAAUUCAUUGGGCUAUAGAUGAAAGUCCUGUUAGAUUUAACAUGACACUUAAUCUUCUACUCAGAAUAAUUGAAGCCAGAUGGGGUGAAUCUGAUGGUUAUCUUAUUUGAUCAUAUUUAUAUAGAGAUAGGUAAAGCCCACAUUCUCAUAUAAUUUGGGAAAAUAAUGAUUUUAGAACUCGCCGUGAAGUAGUACAUCUAUUUCCAAAUUACCUAAAUAAAGGUGUAUGGCCCCGACUCCUGCGAUAUACUAUAGACUGUAAAAAGACAUCAUGGACAAUUUUAGAAUAAUCACUUUAUAAUUUGUGAUCAAGGGAGAUAGAUAUCCUUGGUCAUUUUUGGUGUUUGCCUGAUUUCUGAAAUCCUGCUUCUCUCUUUCUAGUGUGGUGAUAUGUUCUCUAUAACAUUCCUUGAAUAAAACUACCCAGGUCUGUCUUUUUGUGAAAUAUAUAAUAUGCCCAAAGUAUUUCUUCUCCUUUGACUCAAUUUUUUUGUUAGUCAUGGAGUUCCGUUUGGCAGGAAGUUGUUUGGGGUCAAGAGGUGGACAAGGUGACUUACACAAUUUUCUUCUCAAUUGUGCGGUCCCAGUAAGCCUGUGUACUGUGCCAUGGCUUUAUUAAAGUGUUUCUCCACAUAGAAAGUGUGCCCAGAUAGUCAGUAUUGACCCCAUUCCUUCUUCUCCUUGCGCAGGUAGCCACUGUAUUUAUCUUUUGGCAGACCUCCGUCCCCCUUCCCCUGCAAAAAAUCAGCCUCUUUAGUAAUGGGUCAAAAUCAGUGAGAAGAAGUUGAGAGAAAAUUUUAUAAUCAGAAACUUACGGCCCUAUUCAGAAAUUUAAACAGUUUUGCAUCUGGAUAUUUUUUCUUCUAUAUUUUAAUGUUGAGUACUGGUUAUUUCUGGGGCCAGGAAGUGGUGGCGCACGCCUUUAAUUCCAGCAGAGGCAGAGGCAGGCGGAUUUCUGAGUUUGAGGCCAGCCUGGUCUACAGAGUGAGUUCCAGGACUGCCAGGGAUACACAGAGAAACCCUGUCUUGGGGGGGAAAAAAAAGACGACGGCUUUUCUGUUAAAAAUUGUAAAUGUUUGCAAUCCUAGACUAAGGGGACACAGACAAUGGAUUAUUACGCUUUGUCACAGUCUGCUAGCGUGUGUUGUAAUGUGACUGUGGCUUGUUGACAAGGGACCACUGGAUGGUAGGAUUUCAGUGGUGGGCAGGAUUAGCACUGCCAGCCUCCCUUACCCAGCUGACUCCUUCACCUGUGAUAAACAUUCUGUCACUUCAAAUGGCAGUCCUUUACAUUUUAGCUAAUGAAUGGAAUUUAUUUAAAUAGGAUUAUUGAUUAGAUUAUCUUGGUUUUUUUAUCCUGUUGUGUUUGGUGUAGAUAAACAAGGGGCUGAGGUAAUACUGAAGGAUGUAAAGAUGGCAGAAGCAUUUUUAGAAUCUUUCCAUAAAAGUAAUUUGAGAAAUAAUGAAUUUUUUUGAGAGAAAAAUCAACUUUGAGAGAGAUUCUACUUUUCUUGAAUACUAUUUAACUAUUUGUGGCAUGGCUCAGUGGUUAAGAGCCCUGACUGCUCUUCCAGAGGCCCCGAGUUCAAUUCCCAGCAACCAUAUGGUGACUCACAACCAUCUAUAAUGGGAUCCGAUGCCCUCUUCUGGUGUGUCUGAGGACAGCUACAGGGUACUCAUAUAAAUAAAAUAAAUAAAUAUUAAGAAAAAGAAAAAGAGGAUGGAUUCACGUGCUGGGUGGAGAAUGAGAGGCCCCAGUGCUAAGUGAGGCACUGACUAAUAACCUUUCUCCCCUCAUCCCCUACGCGUAGAUAAGCUCUUGUUCAUAAGGUAAAGUUAGUGUUGUAGUUUAUUUAAAAACAGCAAGAAGACUGUUACUUUAUUCUUUCUGCUUCUAAAUUAGCACCCUGUCUGAGUUCUCCUUCAAUCAGGGAUUUCCUAAUGUUUCCAUACUUUUCCUUGGGGAGUCCAUACUUAUGUGUGUAGCAAGCAGGGUGGGCCAGGGUUCUAGCUCCAGAAUUUGCUGUGUAGACUAGGCUGUCCUCCAGUUAAUUAUCCUCCUGCCUGAACCUCCCAAGCUCACACACACACACACACACACACACACACACACACACACACACACAGAGAGAGAGAGAGAGAGAGAGAGAAAGAGAGAGAACAAGAGCUAACUUUUCUUCAUGGCAAGAAAGAUGAUUGCUAGAAGGCUGAGGCUGUGGUGACCCUCCAGCAGUGUCAGCAGUUGAGGAUGAUCCCAGGUCCUGAGUCUGUAUCCAUCAUAAACCAUGAAGGAUGAUACUGUCUCUUUGAGCAGGGUGUACUGUAGCCCACGUGGGCUUGGAGCCAGAUCUUUGUCCUUUUCUUCAUCAACUCUGAUAAUCAUGAAGCAAUGCCUAUGUUUGCUAGACAUUGUUGUCUUUGCCCUUCCUUCAUUUUAAGUUUAGCUUCUAGCUAAGGAUUAUUUCUUUGGUGUAUUUCUGGUAUUCAAGCUGCUGCAUUCUAUUUUCUCCAAAGCCAGUUCUUACUGUUUUUAUAGCUCCUUAAAAUGUCCUUGUGAGGCUGUGUAGUGCGCUUCCCUUUGGAGUACCGCUGGCAAGCAGCAGGAAUCUCAGAAGAGCCGGUGUCUGAAGUGCUUUUGAAGGCAAAUGGAAUUUGAGUAUGGAUUUUGAGAAUGGGUAGGGAUUUGAUAGGAGAAAUUGAGGUAGAGAGAAUGGCAUGACAAAGGUAUGAAAAUGGGGUGCACAGUGUGUUCGGGGUCCAAGAUGUGCUGGGAUGUAGUAGGAGUGCAGACUGCUGCCGUGCUAAUGUAGUGAGUGCCGUUGGAGAGAGAGAGGAAGGCAGGAUUGUGAAAUCUAGUCCAGGUUAGGUAGUAAGACAGCUAUGCUCACUGCAGGUCCUGCCUCAUUAGGCCUUUUACGGAAAAGUCUCAUUUGAUUUUUACAAGCAACAGUUUUGUGUGGUGGAUAGUCUCAGAAGACUCGAUUUGGGGACUUAAAGGAACUCAUAUCUCUUUAAAAGUUGGCUGUCAUCCUAGCUAGCUCUGUCUAAUCAGUAUCGGCAUCCUGACCUCGGGACUUUACAGACAAACUUUAAACAAUCUUAGACUUGUCCUUGUAAUAAUAUUGGAUUGUUUUAUUAGCAGAGAACAUGAUUAUUAGUAUGUCAGGUUUCAGAAGAACCUCAGCCGUAAAUCCAUCAUUAUGGUAGCAUGAACCAAAAGCCUGAAAAAGAAGAUUCCAUUUACUCUGCUGUCUGAGGCUCUGUAUAUGCUGAGCAAGUGCUGUAUACCCCCAGCCUGUGAAGAUCUUGAAAGCAAAGUUAAGGGAUGGUGGUUUUACUCAGUGGUAGGUUCAUUGUAAGUAAUAAACCCAGGAUCAGUGUCUAGAACCAGUUUUUGUUUGUUGUUUUAAAGUCUGUGUAUCAGAUGUUCAGUGCUUUGUGUGGAACUACACCGUUUACACAUUAGUAAGAAUGUGCUUUUACAAGAGCUUUGACUGACUCUUAGUAAUUGUCUAGUGAAGUCUUGUACAAAUAAGCUAAGGCCAGGUGCGAUCAAAUGCAGCCUAGAAUUGGAUGAACAAGACACUAACUGCAGUUUCUCAGUUAAACUGCUAGGACCAGCCUGGAAUGCUCUGUCACCAAGCUGUUAAUUCCAGUGUUUUUAAAAUUCAUAGCACACAAGUCGCUUACUGGUUAUGAAGCUGGGUUGCCUAAAGCUCUGGUCAUCGUUGGCUGAGAGAGACCAAAUCUCUGGGGAGUUUUCUUUUGCAGAAUGCACAUGCCAACCCUUCCCUGAAAACCACUUAGUCAGAGAGGCCAUCAAAGCAAGAGUGUUUAGUUAGUAAGCACAGCCCUGCACUUCCAACAAUGUGCAAACUGUCUCUGCACCUUAGAGACAGGUGUGUGGAGAGUGUGCUACCUGCCUGCCUGGUGAUAGAGCAUCAGAGGUGCUCCCCACUGCUCACUGCAGAGCUUACAGUGUGCAUCCUUAAAAUUGGUCACCGAAAGGUAAGCUUAUGAAACCAUAGCUUUGUUUAAAAAAAAGAUUUUAUUUAUUUUAUAUAUGUGAGUACACUGUAGCUGUCUUCAGACACACCAGAAGAGGGCAUCAGACUCCAUUAGAGAUGGUUGUGAGCCAUCAUGUGGUUGCUGGGAAUUGAACUCAGGCCCCCUGGAAGAGCAGCAGUAACCUCUGAGCCAUCUCUCCAGCCCGAAGCCAUAGGUUUUAUAGUCUUGGGUUUUUUUUAGAGAUAAUUCCCCCUUUCACCAACUGUAGAGGGUCUGAGGUAGUUUUGUGUUAGCUUACUAGCAUUUUCAUGAGUUGUGGUAAUGAGACACAGGGUCAACACUGUUGUGCCAGUUUCCAGCCAUGAGGUGACAGCAACACUACCCCUGUAACACAUGACAGUGCUGUACCCCUAUAACACAUUGUACCACUACAAUACAUAUUACUCAGGAAUAACUUGAGUGUGGGGAGCUUGCAUUCUGGCUCUGCAGCGGCACUGUAAUUUCCAGUGUUGUUGCUGUCUGACUACCUGACAAGGCAGACUUGAACACAGAGCAUCAGUACCUGGCUUUCAGGGCAUGGAGAAAGGUGGGACCAGUAUAUGUUUGUUUUCCAGGAAGCAUCUUAUUAUGACAAAUAAACCAAGUCAUCUUUUUUUCCUUUUAGUCUAUAUGAAAUAAUACGAAGAAAAUCUUUUUAAAAACUUUUUUAAAGGCAGGGCCUCUUUCUUCCUCAGGCUGACUUGGAACUCAUUCUUUAGCUCCCGCGGGCCUCCAGCGCACAUCGUCUUCCUGCCUUAUCCCCACAAGUGCCAUAUUUUAGAAAGUUUUUAAACAAGAUGUCAAGAGCUGGGCCUAGUGGAGCAGGCCAAUAAUCUGAGCUGGGGGGUGAGGGUGGGGGACUCGGGCAGGUGGAUGGCAAGUUCCAGACCAGCCUGCACAGCCUGUAUGAGACAUUGCCUUACUUAAAUUAGCCAGAAGAAGGCUGGGGAUGCAGCUCAGGGGCAGAGCCCUUGCUCUGUGGUUCAGUCCCUAGUAACCCUUGACCCCAAGUCACUUCUGUGCUCUUUUUAUUUUUAUUUUUAGAUUUAUUUUCUGUGUAUGAGUAUUUUGUACCAUGUGUGUGCCUGGUGCCUACAGAGAGAGGUCAAAAGAGGGCACUAGACACCCCCAGACGUAGAGUUACUGCUGGUUGUGAGCUGCCAUGUGAUUGCUAGGACUUGAACCAGGGUCUUUGGGGAGAGUAUCCAGAGUUCUUAACCAUUUACCUGUCUUUCUGGCUCCACUGGUGUACUUUUUUGUUCGUUCCAGAAAUUUUCUGUUUGUACAUUACACGUCCAGAUAACAUGGAAGUUAAUUUUUUCUCUUUCCCCUGGAAAUUGCUGUGUAGAUUAGGCUAGUCUCAAACUUGUGGAGGUUCUCUGCCUUCAUAGCAUUCAAAUUACAGAUCUGUGCCCCAUGCCUGACUAAUUCGUUUAGUUUUGGUGGAGUAUUCUGCUGACUGAAUUUCUAUCCAGGACCUGGGAUUUAGCCAGAACACUUACCCUUGUGUUAUUUUAAUUCCAGCAAGUAUCAGCUGUCAAGUUCCAGAUACUAUGUGCUGUCUCCAUAGCUGGGUGGGAAAGGCUGCAUGCUCCUGUACUCUGACUCAAUACACACUAGAUGUACUUUAAUUUUUUUUUUUUUAGUGUUGGAAGAUAAUUUCAUCAGCGAUAUAACAGGUUGGACGUCUAACAUAAAAUAUGAGACAGAGUUGACCAUGAAACUUUUUGUAGAAGUAUUUUAGUUAUUAUAAAGCAAACAAAAAGGAAAUAUCAGUUAAAUGAAACUGUCUAUUUGCAGACCUGGGUCUGGUGAACAGUGUUAUGUUAACAAAAGAAUAUAAACAGUUGUUACAGUGUGAACAUUGUAGUGAUUAUGUAAGCUCACAUGUUUAAAUGGUGCUUAUUGAUACUAAUGCAGUGUCAAGACACUGGAAAGUCAUUUCCAGAUAGUUCAAACAAAAAGAAUUAUGAGUGUAAGGAGAGGCACAAAAGUGGCAGAGCAUUAGCAAUUGGGGGCACUAUUGUUCCUAUUGAGACUGGAUGAUCCAGAUGUUCUACAUGAACGAGCUAUUUCAUUGUGCCUCUUUGCCCCUAACUUUUAUUUUAGGUGUGAAAAGUUUCAAAACAAAAGUUGGAGGGGAAGAAGUAGCCUCUUGUCUUCCCAGCAGAAGUUCCUGGAGGUGCAUCCCUCUAUCUCUGCUGUAGGAAAUGAUCUGUGUAGUUUCAAAGGAGCAGGUUGUGUUGAGUUGAGCAUCUGAUGACGCUGUGAAUUGGGUCUGCUGGGCAGUGGGAAGACAGGCAUAGACUGGGAAACCUGAGUGAAGCCAUCUCAUUAGUCCAUGUUUCCGGAUUAUCUGUCAGACUUCAGUAGUGGACUGCUCACACUUGUUCUUUU